rnacentral:tRNA from 1 species
GGGUCCUUAGCUCAGUUGGUAGAGCGCCUCGCUGGCAGCGAGGAGGUCGGGAGUUCGAGCCUCCCAGGAUCCA